UUUUUAUUAGUAAACAUGUACUUUUAAAGCAAUUCACAAUUUAUAGCAAUACAAUAGUGUGUUGUAAAAACAUUAAAAGUCCUUCUGCUAAGGGUUCAGAAAACCUCACACUUAACAACAAUCAGGUCAUGGCCGCAAGACACAGCUUGUCUGGAAGCUACACAUUAAAUGAUGUAUUCUAUUUAGGGACUAAAUAUAAAAGCCAAAGUUGAGCCAUGAAUACAGAGGACAGUAUACAAAUGAGAUUAUCACCACUGGCUAUUUGAACAGAAUUAGACCUCACAGAUAAUUUAAUCAACCUUUAAAACUUUACAGAUGAGGAAAAUGAAGCUCUGAGAUACGACUUUGCUGGGGUUCCUCUACUUCCUGUCAGGAAUGAAGGUCAAAUUCCCAUUUCCCAACUCCAGGCCAGUUCAUUACACUGUGCUGCCAGUAUGUCUAACCAAUUAGGUAGAAAGGUAUUUCAUUGAAUGACUUCCACCAUUCUUUUCCCAAAGACUAAUCAGUAAGUGGUAAAUGUGUUAAAUUUACCACACAUUGAUUACAAACACGAAGUACUAUAUUGCAAGGAACAGAGGUUUUGUGCUUUGGUCUUUAAUCUUACUUCCGUUAAAUACUGGGGAAUCCUGGGUCAUAAAAUUGGUAUUAUUACAAAAGAGAAAUAAGUAAAGAGUGGUUGCUGAAAGGUAAUUUUUCUUGGCUGGUUCUUCUAAGUAUAUACUAGGUAUUGUUAUUAGCAGACUUCAUAAAGAAAAGGUUAUCAGGAAUUUUUUUUACCUUCCUUCCUCAACUUAGAAAUUUAUUAUAUACAAAAUCAUUUUAACAAAACAUCUUAGGGAGAAAUUAACACAAAAUUACAAAUCACUCCAUGUGCUUAAUUUGAAAUGUUAUGGCCUUAUGUAUUCAUAUCUAAUGGUCUUCAUGCUAAAAUUGGGAUUCUUAGUCAAUAAAAAUGCAUGCCAAUCUGACAAAAUUUCUAGGAAAACUGCAAUAACCUUCUUUCCAUCAUUCCUUUUUUCCCAGAAAUUGCACAUUUUUGAGAAAAUAUUUAUGCAAAGUGUUCCACUGAAAUGUAUCUCUUACGAAAGUAUCUGAAUAGUGAAGUAUUUA
rnacentral:lncRNA from 10 species